rnacentral:rRNA from 1 species
CAGUAGCCACGGGAAUACGGAGGGAGCUAGCGUUGUUCGGAAUUACUGGGCGUAAAGCGCGCGUAGGCGGUUACUCAAGUCAGAGGUGAAAGCCCGGGGCUCAACCCCGGAACUGCCUUUGAAACUAGGUGACUAGAAUCUUGGAGAGGUCAGUGGAAUUCCGAGUGUAGAGGUGAAAUUCGUAGAUAUUCGGAAGAACACCAGUGGCGAAGGCGACUGACUGGACAAGUAUUGACGCUGAGGUGCGAAAGCGUGGGGAGCAAACAGGAUUAGAGACCCCAGUAGUCCCUGUCUCUUAUAC